rnacentral:rRNA from 1 species
UUCUAUGGGGCGUAGGCCUCCCAAAAGGUAACGGAGGCGUGCAAAGGUUUCCUCGAGCCAGACGGACAUUGGUCCUCGAGUGCAAAGGCAGAAGGGAGCUUGACUGCAAGACUCACCCAUCGAGCAGAGAAGAAAGUCGGCCUUAGUGAUCUGACGGUGCCGAGUGGAAGGGCCGUCG